GACGAACGCUGGCGGCGUGCUUAACACAUGCCAGUCGAACGGAAAGGCCCCCACUUUUUUGGUGGGGGUGCUCGAGUGGCGAACGGGUGAGUAACACGUGGGUGAUCUCCCCUGUACUUCGGGAUAAGCUUGGGAAACUGGGUCUAAUACCGGAUAGGACCAUGGUUUAGUGUCUCAUGGUGGAAAAAUUAUUGUUUUGGUGCAGGAUGAGCUCGCGGCCUAUCAGCUUGUUGGUGGGGUAAUGGCCUACCAAGGCGUCGACGGGUAGCCGGCCUGAGAGGGUGGACGGCCACAUUGGGACUGAGAUACGGCCCAGACUCCUACGGGAGGCAGCAGUGGGGAAUAUUGCACAAUGGGCGCAAGCCUGAUGCAGCGACGCCGCGUGGGGGAUGACGGCCUUCGGGUUGUAAACUCCUUUCGUUAGGGACGAAGCCGCACCUUUUUUGGGUGUGGUGACGGUACCUUUGUUAAGAAGCACCGGCUAACUACGUG
rnacentral:rRNA from 1 species